rnacentral:rRNA from 1 species
GUGAGGAAUAUUGGUCAAUGGGCGGGAGCCUGAACCAGUCAAGUCGCGUGAAGGAAGAAGGAUCUAUGGUUCGUAAACUUCUUUUGCAGGGGAAUAAAGUGCAGGACGUGUCAUGUUUUUUAUGUACCCUGAGAAUAAGGAUCGGCUAACUCCGUGCCAGCAGCCGCGUUAAUACGGAGGAUCCGAGCGUUAUCCGGAUUUAUUGGGUUUAAAGGGUGCGUAGGUGGUUUGAUAAGUCAGCGGUGAAAGUUUGCAGCUUAACUGUAAAAAUGCCGUUGAAACUGUCGGACUUGAGUGUAAAUGAGGUAGGCGGAAUGCGUGGUGUAGCGGUGAAAUGCAUAGAUAUCACGCAGAACUCCGAUUGCGAAGGCAGCUUACUAAGCUACAACUGACACUGAAGCACGAAAGCGUGGGGAUCAAACAGGAUUAGAUACCCGAGUAGUCC